rnacentral:rRNA from 1 species
UACGUAGGUGGCAAGCGUUUGUCCGGAAUUAUUGGGCGUAAAGCGUGCGCAGGCGGUUUUGUAAGUCUGUCGUGAAAUCCCCGGGCUCAACCUGGGAAUUGCGAUGGAGACUGCAAGGCUAGAAUCUGGCAGAGGGGGGUAGAAUUCCACGUGUAGCAGUGAAAUGCGUAGAGAUGUGGAGGAACACCGAUGGCGAAGGCAGCCCCCUGGGUCAAGAUUGACGCUCAUGCACGAAAGCGUGGGUAGCAAACAGG